rnacentral:lncRNA from 1 species
UUUCUUUUAUUUUAAAUUAGUUUAAAAUGUAGNUUGAGUUGUUUUUAAUUUCUUUAAUUUAGUUUUGUAUUUAAUUUAAUUUAACUAUGUUUAAAUAUUUGUUUAGUCUAGUAUUGGGUUUAGCAUUUUUACUCUCUUUAACGCUUUUUAUGAUGUUCGAAUGUGUUUAAUUUUUAUUUUUAAUUUCGUCAGCUGCAUUCACAAACAAAACCAAUUUCACAACCCCCCCACUGCG